GAGUUUGAUCAUGGCUCAGGAUGAACGCUGGCGGUAUGCUUAACACAUGCAAGUCGAACGGACUCUUCGGAGUUAGUGGCGGACGGGUGAGUAACGCGUGAGAAUCUAGCUUUAGGUCUGGGACAACCACUGGAAACGGUGGCUAAUACCGGAUGUGCCCUUGGGUGAAAGGUUAACUGCCUGAAGAUGAGCUCGCGUCUGAUUAGCUAGUUGGAAGUGUAAUAGACUCCCAAGGCGACGAUCAGUAGCUGGUCUGAGAGGACGAUCAGCCACACUGGGACUGAGACACGGCCCAGACUCCUACGGGAGGCAGCAGUGGGGAAUUUUCCGCAAUGGGCGAAAGCCUGACGGAGCAAUACCGCGUGAGGGAGGAAGGCUCUUGGGUCGUAAACCUCUUUUCUCAGGGAAGAACACAAUGACGGUACCUGAGGAAUAAGCAUCGGCUAACUCCGUGCCAGCAGCCGCGGUAAUACGGAGGAUGCAAGCGUUAUCCGGAAUGAUUGGGCGUAAAGCGUCCGCAGGUGGCAAUGUAAGUCUGCUGUUAAAGAGUCUAGCUCAACUAGAUAAGAGCAGUGGAAACUACAUAGCUAGAGUACGUUCGGGGCAGAGGGAAUUCCUGG
rnacentral:rRNA from 1 species